AGAGCAAGUGGCGGAUGCCUUGGCUAGUAGAGGCGAUGAAAGACGUGCCAGGCUGCGAUAAGUCUCGGGGAGCCGUCAAGGGGCUUUGAUCCGGGAAUUUCUGAAUGGGGCAACCCAGUUAAGCGCGAGCUUAACUACCUAAUAUGGAGCGAACGAGGGGAAUUGAAACAUCUUAGUACCCUCAGGAAAAGAAAUCAAAAGAGAUUACGCUAGUAGCGGCGAGCGAACGCGUAAGAGGGCAAACCACUAGUUUACUAGUGGGGUUGUAGGACCGCAACAUAGACUAGGAUCUGAUAAUAGAACAAUCUGGAAAGGUUAGGCAUAGAGGGUGAUACUCCCGUAUAUGAAAGCUUUGUUUUACUUAGCGGUAUCCUGAGUAGGGCGGAACACGUGAUAUUCUGUCUGAAGCCGGGUCGACCACGAUCCAACCCUAAAUACUACUACUAGACCGAUAGUGCACAAGUACCGUGAGGGAAAGGUGAAAAGAACUGAGGUGAUCAGAGUGAAAUAGAACCUGAAACCAUUUGCUUACAAUCAUUCAGAGCCCUAUGAUUUAUCAGGGUGAUGGACUGCCUUUUGCAUAAUGAGCCUGCGAGUUGUGGUGUCUGGCGAGGUUAAGGAAACCCGGAGCCGUAGCGAAAGCGAGUCUUAAUAGGGCGUUUAGUCAGAUGCUGCAGACCCGAAACGAUGUGAUCUAUCCAUGAGCAGGUUGAAGCCGGUGUAAGAGCCGGUGGAGGACCGAACCCGCUAGCGUUGAAAAGCUAUGGGAUGACUUGUGGAUAGGGGUGAAAGGCCAAUCAAACAUCGUGAUAGCUGGUUCUCUCCGAAAUAUAUUUAGGUAUAGCGUCAUGUAGUAACACUAGGGGGUAGAGCACUGAAUGGGCUAGGGCAUACACCAAUGUACCAAACCCUAUCAAACUCCGAAUACCUAGUGUGUAAUCAUGGCAGUCAGGCGGCGAGUGAUAAAAUCCGUCGUCGAGAGGGGAACAACCCAGACUAACAGCUAAGGUCCCUAAAUCUCAUUUAAGUGGAAAACGAUGUGGAGUUACUUAAACAACCAGGAGGUUGGCUUAGAAGCAGCCAUCCUUUAAAGAAAGCGUAAUAGCUCACUGGUCUAGUGAUUCUGCGCGGAAAAUAUAACGGGGCUAAAAUGAGUACCGAAGCUUUAGACUUAGUUUUACUAAGUGGUAGGAGAGCGUUGCAUUCAGCGUCGAAGGUGUACCGGUAAGGAGCGCUGGAGCGAAUGCAAGUGAGCAUGCAGGCAUGAGUAGCGAUAAUUGGGGUGAGAAUCCCCAACGCCGUAAACCCAAGGUUUCCUACGCGAUGCUCGUCAUCGUAGGGUUAGCCGGGUCCUAAGCAAAGUCCGAAAGGGGUAUGCGAUGGAAAAUUGGUUAAUAUUCCAAUGCCAACUAUAAUGUGCGAUGGAAGGACGCUUAGAGUUAGAGGAGCCAGCGGAUGGUAGUGCUGGUCGAAAGGUGCAGGUUGGAGUUCAGGCAAAUCCGAACUCCUUUAAGCCGAGGCCUUACAGGUGCGUGAAGUUCUUCGGAAUGAAUCGUAAAUCCUUGAUACUGUCGAGCCAAGAAAAGUUUCUAAGUUUAGUUAUAGUUGCCCGUACCGUAAACCGACACAGGUGGGUGGGAUGAGUAUUCUAAGGCGCGUGGAAGAACUCUCUUCAAGGAACUCUGCAAAAUAGCACCGUAUCUUCGGUAUAAGGUGUGCCUAACUUUGUGAAGGAUUUACUCCGUAAGCAUUGAAGGUUACAACAAAGAGUCCCUCCCGACUGUUUACCAAAAACACAGCACUCUGCUAACUCGUAAGAGGAUGUAUAGGGUGUGACGCCUGCCCGGUGCUCGAAGGUUAAUUGAUGACGUUAGCUCUGCGAAGCGUUUGAUCGAAGCCCGAGUAAACGGCGGCCGUAACUAUAACGGUCCUAAGGUAGCGAAAUUCCUUGUCGAUUAAAUAUCGACCUGCAUGAAUGGCGUAACGAGAUGGGAGCUGUCUCGAAGAGGGAUCCAGUGAAAUUGUAGUGGAGGUGAAAAUUCCUCCUACCCGCGGCAAGACGGAAAGACCCCGUGGACCUUUACUACAGCUUGACACUGCUAUUGGGAUAAAAAUGUGCAGGAUAGGUGGGAGGCUUUGAUCCAUAGACGCCAGUUUAUGGUGAGCCGUUGUUGAGAUACCACUCUUUUUUAUUCUGAUAGCUAACUAGCUUGAGUUAUCCUCAAGUAGGACAAUGUCUGGUGGGUAGUUUGACUGGGGCGGUCGCCUCCCAAAAUGUAACGGAGGCUUACAAAGGUUGGCUCAGAACGGUUGGAAAUCGUUCGUAGAGUAUAAAGGCAUAAGCCAGCUUAACUGCGAGACAUACACGUCAAGCAGAGACGAAAGUCGGUCUUAGUGAUCCGGUGGUUCCGUGUGGAAGGGCCAUCGCUCAACGGAUAAAAGGUACCCCGGGGAUAACAGGCUGAUCUCCCCCA
rnacentral:rRNA from 1 species